CCUACGGGAGGCAGCAGUGGGGAAUCUUGCGCAAUGGGCGAAAGCCUGACGCAGCAACGCCGCGUGCGGGAAGAAGGCUUUCGGGCUGUAAACCGCUUUCAGCAGGAACGAAAAUGACGGUACCUGCAGAAGAAGGAGCGGCCAACUAUGUGCCAGCAGCCGCGGUGAUACAUAGGCUUCAAGCGUUGUCCGGAUUUAUUGGGCGUAAAGAGUUCGUAGGCGGUCGAGUAAGUCGGGUGUGAAAAUUCUGGGCUCAACCCAGAGACGCCACCCGAUACUGCUUGACUUGAGUUCGAUAGGGGAGUGGGGAAUUCCUAGUGUAGCGGUGAAAUGCGCAGAUAUUAGGAGGAACACCGGUGGCGAAGGCGCCACUCUGGAUCGAUACUGACGCUGAGGAACGAAAGCAUGGGUAGCAAACAGGAUUAGAUACCCUGGUAGUCCAUGCCGUAAACGGUGGGCACUAGGUGUGGGAUUCUAUUAACGAUUCCGCGCCGUCGCUAACGCAUUAAGUGCCCCGCCUGGGGAUACGGCGCAAGACUAAAACCUCAAAAGUGAAUUGACG
rnacentral:rRNA from 1 species